GCGCCCGUAGCUCAGCUGGAUAGAGCAACGGCCUUCUAAGCCGUGGGUCGCAGGUUCGAAUCCUGCCGGNCGCGCCA
rnacentral:tRNA from 1 species